UCCCCUGCAAUUUCCCUGCUCAAUUCACUGUCAUUUAGGAGUUAAAUCUCUUUGUUUCUGUUUAUGCAGCCCUUGCCACACCUCCCCUGGCUAUGAUUGACAGAGCCUGCAUGAAAAAAAAAACUGGUUUCACUUUCAAACAGAUGUAAUUUACCUGAAAUAAUUGUAUCUCAAUCUCUAAAUUAAACUUUAAUCACAUACAGGAGGCUCUUGCAGGGUCUAGCAAGCUAUUAACAUAGCAGGGGAUAAGAAAAUCUUAAUUAAACAGAACUUGCAAUAAAGAAAGCCUAAAUAGGGCUCUCUAUACAGGAAAUGUUUAUGGAAGGCUGUACAAGUCACAUGCAGGGAGGUGUGACUAGGGUUCAUAAACAAAGGGAUUAAACUCCUAAAAGGCAGAAGAUUGAGCAGUGAGGCUGCAGGGGCAUGUUCUAUACACCAAAACUGCUUCAGUAACCUAAAGUUGUUCAGGUGACUAUAGUGUCCCUUUAAGGACCGCGGACAUACCUAGUAUGCCUGCGGCAAAUAUUAUUAUUAUUAUUGUUAUGAUAUUUAUAGAGCGCCGUCAAAUUCCGUAGCGCUUAACAAUCGGUGGACGAAACAGACAUGUAGUUGUACACACAGGAACAGAGGGGUUGAGGGCCCCGCUCAAUGAGCUUACAUGCUAGAGGGAGUGGGGUAAAAUGACACAAAAAGGUAAGGAUAGUAUUAGACUAGUGACAGUUGCAGAAGAGGAAUCAGUCAGGAGCUAUUAACAGUUUAAUCGUUUUAUGAAGAAGUGGGUUUUUAACGAUUUUUUGAAGGAGUGUGUGUAAAAAUGUGUAAAAAUGAAAAUUGAAAAAUUACCACCACACAUUUUAUCCAAUUUUGUUUGGCUAAAAUGGUUGCAUCAAAGGCAUAAAACCACUCUAUACACAAUACUUUAUGGUGUCAACUUUUCAAAUAUAUGCACGUUCAUGGCAAGAAAAUAAAUUGGGAUCUGUAAAAAGGCCCCCAAAAAGAAGAUAGGCAAAGAAGAUAUGUCAAAUUUGAAAAACACAUGUCAGAAGUUUAGCAUUGCACCCCCCAAACAACCCAAUAAACCUAUGCAUAGGUGGUACCAUUGCUGAGCACAUAUUGGGGUGUUCUUUGGCAGUAACCAAUUUUUUAAUUUUUUUAAAUUUGGCAUAGAUUGGUGGUAAAAUGGUUGCAUGAAAAGAGUCAAAAUACCCCAAGUCUAAUAUCUUUGGUUGUCUACUUUUAAAAAAUAUAUACAUGUGAAGGGUUAUUCAGGGAUUCCUGACAGAUAUCAGUGUUACAAUGUAACUUUCAUUAAUUUGGAAAAAAAAAUGGUUUGGAAAUAGCAAAGUGCUACUUGUACUUAUUGCCCUGUAACUUGCAAAAGAACAUGUUAACAUUGGGUAUUUCUAAACUCAUGACAAAAUUUAGAAACUAUUUAGCAUAAGUUUAUUUUGGUGGUUAUAGAUGCGUAACAGAUUUUGUGGUUAUUUUUAAAAUGUCUUCAUAUUUUAUACAAAAAAUUUAUGGUAAAUUAUAUGAUAUGAUGAAAAUAAUGGUAUCUUUAGAAAGACCAUUUAAUGUCGAGAAUAACUGUAUAUAAUAUAUGUGGGUACAGUAAAUGAGUAAGAGGAAAAUUACAGCUAAACACAAACACUGCAGAAAUGUUGUCAGGCUUCACGGCCACUUGCCUUCCGCCGGAGUCCCGGUUGAUACAGUCUCCGCCAAUAUUCUCUCUGACGCUGCAUGCUUGCGUACAGCGUCAUUAAAUAUGCGCCUGUGUGACCUUCCAAACCCAGCGCAUAGCGAUGACACAAAGGUUCAGAUUAAGAAGGGCAAAUACCUUCCACGAGUAGUAAUAAAUUCCAGUUGGAGGCUGACCAAUCACAAAUAGGUCUUGCCUAUUUAAGCUUGCAGAUGUUAUACCUUGUUGCCCUGUUGUGGUCUUGUGAUAGCCCAAUAUCGCACUUAUACUGUUUGAUUAUUUGUUAUUGACCUCGGCUCUGUCUCUUGAUUAUCCUGCUCUCUCUGAUCCCUGACCUCAGCUAGUUCUUCGUUAUUCUGUAUUUCUCCACCCCUUGACUUCGGCUGGUAUUCUGACAUCUCUCUGUUUGCAUAGUCCGGCCACUCUAAAGACUGUUACUGCAAUUCUGUUUGUCAUGAUCUUUCUGUGUGUUUGGUUCCAUGGAAACCUUGACAUUACAACAGGGCCACAUGGAACCUACAGAUAUUUCACAACAGCUGGCUAAUCAGGAUUCCAGGAUGGGUGGUUUCGACCAUCUCAUGGACCAGUUUGCCCAAGCAUUGCAGGCCAUCUUACAACGUCCCACUCACUAGCAACAUGAGCUGCAGGAGACUGUAUCUGCUGCUAUUGUCCCUGUUCACGGCCAGUACCAGUUGUUUCCAGCUCAUACUAUUCAGAUGACACCUCCUCAGCGCUAUGGUGGCUAUCUUGUGCUAUGUCGCAGGUUUCUUAACCAGACUGAUAUACAUCUGGUUAUGAACCCACGUUCAUACCCCAGUGACAGGUCUAAAAUAGCCUUCCUGAUUAAUCACCUCUCGGGUAGGGCCUUAGCUUGGGCUAAUCCUAUACGGAAAUCAGGUACAACCAUGUCUUAUUCAGACUUCCUGUCUGCCUUCAAGAGGAAAUUUGACGUGCCAGGGAGGGUGUCACGAUUCCGGAACCUAACACGCUAACAGGUCACAGAGAGGAAGGGUGCUAUACCGAUCCUUAGAGUGGCCGGGCUAAGCACGCUAAGAAUAGUCAGGAGACAAGCCAAGUAAAGGGAGCCAGAAAACGGGAGAACGAGAAACAAGUCGAGGUCAAAGGAGUGGAGAAGACAGGAUAAUCGGAAUAACGAGCCAAAUAAUCAGUAACCAGAGAGCAAGACGAGAACACCACGCUACAGGUAUCACAAGACCACAACAGGGCACUGAGGGACAGGAAAGGUAAGUAUAAAUACCCUUGGUUUAAUUCUGAUUGGAUAACUUCCAAUCAGAAUUAACAAUCACACGUGGGGGAUAUCUAUACCUCCCACUGUGAUUGUGGUACUGUUCCUUUAACGCCGGGUCACUCACGUGACCCCAGCGUUUACAUAAUUCAGUGACCUCCCAGCGUGCAGCGUUAUACAUGCUACCGCUGGGGGGCGUGGAGGACGUGAGCGGCGAGCGGCGAGCGGCAGAGAGGAGACGCCGCUCGCCGACAGGUAAGCGGAGGGGAGACCGCGGGCGGCGACGGACUGAGGGUGAGUGCUGCAAGUGGCGUGCAGCCUCACCUCCUAGCCGCCCGCAGAUCCCUGACAGAGGGUUACUUUCACUGGUACAUCCCUACUAGGGAUCAAACAAAGUUCUAGAUCGGUAGCAGACUAUGCUAUCGAAUUCCGUACCCUGGCGGCAGAGGUAGUGUGGAACAAUGAUGCCUUGGUAAUCGCAUUUCAGGAAGGCAUGCCUGGAUAUAUAUUGGAUGAAAUAGCAUCCAGAGAAACACCUAUCCCACUGGAUGAUCUCAUUGAUUACUGUAUUAUAAUAGACAACCGCAUAUGGGAAAGACAUACUCAGCAAGAGAAUUAUAGAAGAAUAUCUUCACACUCAUUCCCCUCUUUGCCAUCUACACCUUUGCUUGCCCUACCUCCACCUGGUCCUCCACCUGAACCCAUGCAAUUGGGCUCCGCUAAGCUGACAGAGGCUGAAAAGUCUUAUAGGAGGAGGGAAGGGUUAUGCCUUUAUUGUGAGAAAAAGUGGCAUUUAAGAAAGGCGUGCCCUAGCCUUCUGGGAAACUUGAGCACCUAAGGCCUUGGGUGUUAUGACGUUAUCCCCUCCUGCUAGUGCCAUCAGACUGCUCAUUAUGGUCAAGCUGUUAGUCACCACUAAAGCUUUGAUUGAUUCAGGUGCUGUGGAUAAUCUUAUGGACCAAAACUUUGCUAAAGCUGCUGCCCUUACUCUGAUCUGAAAGACCACACCCUUGGCCGUUGAGGCCAUAGAUGGUAGACCAUUAAACGAGACUCUGGUUACCCACGAAAUCCAAGAGUCGCAUAUGUCGAUUGGCAUUACACAUGGAACAGAUAACUUUCCAAAUUUUAAGUUCCCCUUCCUGUUCUGUUGUUUUGGGCUUCCCCUGGUUGGUGAAACACAACACCGUGUUUGACUGGAAAAAUUUAGAAAUUUAGAAAUCCUCUCUGACCCACAGCCUUUCCUCUCUCAACUGCUGUGCCACCGCAGUAUGCUGACCUAACACAGGUAUUCGAGAAAAGAGAGACUGAAAAACUACCCCCUCAUCGCACAUAUGAUUGUGCAAUUGACCUCUUAACGGGUACUAUGCUCCCCAAAGGUAGAAUAUAUCUUCUCACAGAGAAAGAGAAUAGAAUUAUGGAGGAGUACAUAGAGGAUUCUCUAAGGAAAGGAUUCAGUAGAAGUUCCUCGACCCUGGCGGGUGCCGGAUUCUUUUUUCUAUCGAAAAAGGAGGGGGAUUUGAGGCCCUGUAUCGAAUUUAGGGGUCUCAACAAGAUCACGUUCCAGAAUGCUUAUCCCAUUCCUCUUAUUACAGAACUUUUUGAUCAUGUAAAGGGGUCAAAGUAUUUUACCAAACUUGAUCUCAGGGGAGCUUAUAAUUUGGUAAGAAUAAGGGAAAAUGACGAAUGGAAAACCGUCUUUAAUACUCGCAGUGGGCAUUAUGAGUAUCUAGUGAUGCCUUUUGGCCUGUGUAAUGCUCCUGUGGUCUUUCAAGACCUAAUUAACAAUGUCCUCUGUGAUCUUUUGCAUAUAUGUACAGUGGUGUACUUGGACGACAUUCUCAUGUAUUCUCCAGAUCCUGAAACACAUCACCAACAUGUAAGAAUGGUCUUGAGAAAGCUGCUCCAGAACGGACUAUACUGGAAACUUGAGAAAUAUCUCUUCGACCAAACUACAGUACAGUUCCUGGGCUACAUAAUCUCUGAAGAAAGUUUCAGUAUGGAUCCCUCUAAAUUAGAGGCAAUCACAUCCUGGCAACUCCCCCAAUGGCUUAAGGCAAUCCAAAGAUUUAUCGGAUUUGAAAAUUACUAUAGAAAGAACUCCUCCAUUAUUGUCAAGUAUUCAUACGCACAUAAAAAUGUGGUUAAUGGCAUGUACCGUCCUGACAGGAAAAGGUGUGCCAAGCAGCAUUACCGUCCUGACAUAAAAAGUUGUGCCGAGCAGCAUUACUGCCCUGACAGGAAAAGUUGUGCCGAGCAGCAAUCAGGCACAUGGAAACCUGGUGAUUGCUUUUGGGGUCAAAAGCCAGUUAUGGCCAAUCAGAUCCACAGGAGCGUUUGUGCUGAGCAGCAAUCAUGCACAUUGAAACCUGGUAAUUGCUUUUGGGGUGAAAGGCCAGUUACGGCCAAUCAGAUCCACCGGAGGGGUAUUUAAACCCAAUUUUCCUUUUGCUCAUUGCCCUGUCGUGGUUUCAUCCUGAUGGUAAUCCGAGAGUGCGUUCCUGAUCUUGAUUUUCUGGUAUUUGACUUUGGCUUCGUUUUGACUUCCCUGAAUUCUGGUAUCCUUGACUUUUGGCUUUCCCUCAUCGUUGUGUCUGAUUCUGUGUUCCUGACCUCGGCAAGUAUUUUGACUAUUCUUGGAUAAGUUAAGCCCAGCCAUUCUAAGGGCCGAUUAUACGUUAUCCUUAGUCCUAGGUGUGACACAGUUCUGCGUGCUGGAUCAACUUGUAAUCCUGACAAUUAUAAGCCCCAGGAGACUAUGUUCUAAAUUGAACAGAGCUUAUACUGGAGUUCAGUUAAUCAAAUAGCUCCACACUUCGAGAUCUAGUGAACUAAAUUUACAACAGAAUUCAACUAGUCCAGAAACCAGAAUCAGAACAUACUUUGAGAUCUAGCGAACGGAAUUUACAACAGAAUUCGGCUAGUCUACUCGCUCCAGAAUCUGUUAUCUAGUGAAAGGAAUUUACAACAGAGUUCAACUAGUCCAGAAACCAGAAUCAGAACAUACUUUGAGAUCUAGCGAACGGAAUUUACAACAGAAUUCGGCUAGUCUACUCGCUCCAGAAUCUGCGAUCUAGUGAACAGAAUUUACAACAGAGUUCAACUAUUCCACAAACCGGAAUCUGACUGAAAAUAUAUACAUCAGAAUUUAGCCGGACAAACAGACCAUAUGCUAAAUGGGCUAGCUACAGAGCGUUUAGCUUAAGGCGGGGAUCGGCUGCCUCUUCUUUCCAGUGGAGAAGGUCAGAUACCAGAUACAGAUUUUAC